rnacentral:rRNA from 1 species
UGGGGAAUAUUGCACAAUGGGGGGAACCCUGAUGCAGCAACGCCGCGUGAGUGAUGAAGGUCUUCGGAUUGUAAAGCUCUGUCUUUAGGGACGAUAAUGACGGUACCUAAGGAGGAAGCCACGGCUAACUACGUGCCAGCAGCCGCGGUAAUACGUAGGUGGCAAGCGUUAUCCGGAUUUACUGGGCGUAAAGGGAGCGUAGGCGGUUACUUAAGUGGGAUGUGAAAUACCCGAGCUUAACUUGGGAGCUGCAUUCCAAACUGAGUAUCUAGAGUGCAGGAGAGGAGAGUGGAAUUCCUAGUGUAGCGGUGAAAUGCGUAGAGAUUAGGAAGAACACCAGUGGCGAAGGCGACUCUCUGGACUGUAACUGACGCUGAGGCACGAAAGCGUGGGGAGCAAACA